GAGUUUGAUCCUGGCUCAGGAUGAACGCUGGCGGCGUGCUUAACACAUGCAAGUCGAACGAAGCGAUUUGAAUGAAGUUUUCGGAUGGAUUUCAGAUUGACUGAGUGGCGGACGGGUGAGUAACGCGUGGGUAACCUGCCCCAUACAGGGGGAUAACAGUUAGAAAUGACUGCUAAUACCGCAUAAGACCACAGCACCGCAUGGUGACGAAGGGGUAAAAACUCCGGUGGUAUGGGAUCGGACCCGCGUCU
rnacentral:rRNA from 1 species